ACCUCGUGGUUUGGACAUUACAUUAGUUUUCUGUUGAAUCUUUCCCAUACUUCAUACAAAGGUUCUCCAUUCAAUUGCCUAAAUUUAAUGAUCUCAUCCCUCAGUU
rnacentral:snoRNA from 1 species